rnacentral:lncRNA from 1 species
AGAGUCGUAGUGGUCUCAAACUUGAACUAUGACUGCUUAAGGAAAAUAAAAUAUCACUGCUCACACAUAAUAAUCAAGGUGUUGACAUGAGCUUUAAAGCCAGCACGUUAUGGCCAUGUGCUAUCCCGGUUUCAUGAGUGCUUUUGAGAAUAAGCCCAAUUCUCAUAGGAAGCGACCUACUUCCACACAUCACAUAGGUGAAAUCUGUCGAGAGUGCUCCUGUAAGCUUAACACUCCACCCAUACGGGCUACAUAUAUUCAUUAAGAGUUUUAUUAACUCAACCUUAACAAAUUACAGGAAACAAUGCACUCACAUCAUAGUUGGUUAUUAAUUAUCCACUAAGGCACAAAUGUUUAUCCAUUGCAAGCAAUGAUCCAGUAGAUGCUCCAACGAAUAGACAAACACAAAUUGCUAAUGUGGCCAUUCCAAGAUAGAAUAUAAUAUAAUAUUAAAAUGAUGACCAACAAUUCCCCACUCAUUUUCAUAUUAAUUAAGAGAGUCUAUCAGUUGAAGGAAGACUACUAUGCAUAAUGAAGGUGUGCUCUGCAUUGAACCUCCACUUAGUAAAACAAUAACUUUUACUUCAGAGUCGUAGUGGUCUCAAACUUGAACUAUGACUGCUUAAGGAAAAUAAAAUAUCACUGCUCACACAUAAUAAUCAAGGUGUUGACAUGAGCUUUAAAGCCAGCACGUUAUGGCCAUGUGCUAUCCCGGUUUCAUGAGUGCUUUUGAGAAUAAGCCCAAUUCUCAUAGGAAGCGACCUACUUCCACACAUCACAUAGGUGAAAUCUGUCGAGAGUGCUCCUGUAAGCUUAACACUCCACCCAUACGGGCUACA